rnacentral:rRNA from 1 species
UCAGGUAGGGAUACCCGCUGAACUUAAGCA